UACGUAGGGUGCAAGCGUUGUCCGGAGUUAUUGGGCGUAAAGAGCUCGUAGGCGGUCUGUUGCGUCGGCUGUGAAAACCCGGGGCUCAACCCCGGGCCUGCAGCCGAUACGGGCAGACUAGAGUUCGGCAGGGGAGACUGGAAUUCCUGGUGUAGCGGUGAAAUGCGCAGGUAUCAGGAGGAACACCGGUGGCGAAGGCGGGUCUCUGGGCCGAUACUGACGCUGAGGAGCGAAAGCGUGGGGAGCGAACAGG
rnacentral:rRNA from 1 species